rnacentral:lncRNA from 1 species
AAACCGAAUGCAAAACAACCGCAAACCAAACACCGUCAGUCGCACAAUCAACAAACAACCCCAAAAUUUCGAAAACAUGUGCACAAAGAAGCAGCCCUCGCCUCUUGAUUGAACAUAUGUUCCAGGCACCCACCAAUGGAGCUCCAUGCUCAUUCAUUUCACAGAGAACUUAGAAGAAGAUUUUGACACAUAUGAACCCAAAACAUUUAACUUCAUAUUUGAAAAACAUAAAAGUUAACA